UAUUGAUCUGCUCCCAUCCAUCCACCCACUGGUGCCUUGCUGAAUUUGGCCUGCUCAUGCCCUGCAAACAGAUGGCCAUGCUUGAGAUCCCAAAAACAAGAUGCUGCCCUGCUGUGACGCCUGAAGCUAAGCAAGCCAGUAAGAUUAAUAACGAGCUGUCCCUCCCCAAAGGCAGGGCAAAGAAAAAAAAUACACUGUUUGCAGAGGAUACUUGAUCAGUGA